ACUAAGUCUUUAGAGGUUUUAAGAUUCAAACACUAUGUAAGAAGAAUUAUGGUUUGAACUACGUAACAAUUACCUAGACAUCUUUUGGACUUCAGUUAACCUGCAUUGAGAACAUAAUGGUGAGCAAAACUGACCAAGGCCCUACUCUCGUGGAAUUUAUACAGUCUCAUGGAAUAGAUGGAUACCAAUCAAAUAAUCACACAGCUGGUAGAAAUUAGAAGAACCGAAGGAAAUGACCUCUGACCUGAGAUCUAAAAGAUGUUUGGCUCUACAAAAUGGAUGGAUUUUAUCAGUUGACACUACAGAGAUCAAACAAGAAAUUAACUCUGCAAAAAGCGCUGUGGAGAACCUGGGUUUUAAUCUAGGGUUUUGCAAGUUCAUGCACCUGGCAGUGGCCUAAAGCGCAGAAGGACCAAACUGAGAGAUGGGGUUUUGCUAUGUUGCCCAGGCUGCUGGAUGGUUCUUUCUACCACACCAGGACACUUCCUCCAUUUCCUUCUUCCUUUGUGGUGUCAAGCACUGCAGUAGAUUCUGAAGAUACAAAAAUAAAUAAAACAUUCCUGCCCUCAAGACACUUACACUCUUAUGUGUAACACUGUGUGACCAUUCAUCUGGGCCUUCCUGAGACAGUCUUGGUUUACACCUGUUUUCCCAAUCAGAGCAUCACUGCCUUUCCCACUAUUCUCCUGCAGAAGAGCAGGGGAAGGAAGCACCAGGGUCCAUCAUGGAGGAAGGGUGUUGCCCUGAACAGCUGACACACCCUCGGCAAUGAGGCUUAGUUUUGCUGGAACUUUUCAGUUGUGACAACUGAGAUUCAGAGAUGUCCAAUCUACUCACAUAAAUAUUUCUAGCCCAUGACAGACUGACGUAUCUAAAAAUCAUAGAUUAGGUAAAGAAUGUGUGCAAAUUAAAAUCCAUGCACAGAAACCUACGUGAGAAGAAGGAGCGUUGUCAUCGCAGACGUUUAACCGGGCCUGGUUGAAGAUGGCUGAGCGUAAAACAGAAUGCAAGUCAGCUGGAGCACGUACUACUGGAGGCAGAGCCCCAUAAGAAGGGGCCAAGAACCCGCACCCACCAAAAUCAAGAAGAAAGGCUGAACCCGGAGAGAAAAGGGAGCACUGUUCACAGUAGCAAUGACAUGGAGUCAACGUAAAUGUCCAUCAAUGAUAGACUGGAUAAAGAAAAUGUGGUACAUAUACACCGUGGAAUACUAUGCAGCCAUAAAAAGGAAUGAGAUCAUGCCCUUUGCAGGGACAUGGAUGGAGCUGGAAGCUAUUAUCUUCAGCAAAAGAUUGCAGGAACAGAAAACCAAAUACUGGAUGUUCUCACGUCAACUGAUGUUGCCAUGCAGAUCCCUUGGUUGCUAUGAGAUGGUAACAUCACUCUGCCCCACCAUUGGCCAGUGCCUCCUCAGCUGCGGUGCCUCCCAGGCUGUGUGGUUCUCACGCGGGCCACUGACACAGAGCUGUUACUAUGGUGAACUUUACAAUUUCCUUUGAUUGGUGGAUUUCAGAAAUAGGCCAUCAGCGGAAUUCAUUAUAUUCAGCUAAGUAAAAAUGAAAAAUAAAUACUAUAGCUUUCCCCUCAUCACUAACAUGAAGGAAACGUGACCCUUCAUGACAUAAUAAAUCGCUGUUCGGUAACUUAGGAUCCUUCAGGGGACUGAAGCGGGAUGAUUCUCCUAUGCCAAAUUUGGGUGGGAAAGAUAUUCCCUGUAGCUUUGAGUCGACUCUUCAGAGUUAAGGGCAGUGGGCCAACCAGAGUUGGAACUUCAGAGUUGGGAGGAGGUGUGGGAUGGGGCAUGCAUUGAAAUGUAAACUCUAUUGUCUCUGAAGUGAUGGGUGAUGCUGGGGGCCUGAGUGUGGAGGGCAGUUUUACAUCUCAGGACAAUGUUUUCUCAGAUGCUCUUCCAGAAAGGAAAGCCAGGAGUACUCCUGGCUGGAGGCGGCAUGCCUGAGGUCAGAGUCAAAGUAGGGUUUGUGCUGUCUGAAUCCUUUCUCCCACUCUCCCCAGCCUGGCUCAGCUUCUCAGCUUCUCAGGUGGAUUGGUGAGUCCUGGCCAAUUAUGCUUCAGCUCAUCUCUACUCUCGGCAAAUAGGAAAAGGGAGUGAAGGACUGAGUUUUAACCCUUCUAAUUUCGUAACCUGACUCUCUAUAAGAAAAAGUAGGAGAAAGACUGAAGAACCCGAGAGAACAGGCCUCUGAGCCCAAGCCAAGCCAUCGCAUCCCCUGUGACUUGCACGUAUAUACGCCCAGAUGGCCUGAAGUAACUGAAGAAUCACAAAAGAAGUGAAUAUGCCUUGCCCCACCUUGACUGAUGACAUUCCACCACAAAAGAAGUGUAAAUGGCCGGUCCUUGCCUUAACUGAUGACAUUACCUUGUGAAAGUCCUUUUCCUGGCUCAUCCUGGCUCAAAAAGCACCCCCACUGAGCACCUUGCGACCCCCACUCCUGCCCACUGAGCACCUUGUGACCCCCACUCCUGUCCGCCAGAGAACAAACCCCCUUUGACUGUAAUUUUCCUUUGCCUACCCAAAUCCUAUAAAACGGCUCCACCCUUAUCUCCUUUUGCUGACUCUCUUUUCGGACUCAGCCCGCCUGCACCCAGGUGAUUAAAAGCUUUAUUGCUCACACAAA